rnacentral:tRNA from 1 species
GGGAAAGUGACUCAGUGGUAGAGUGCUUGCCUUGCAUGCAUGAGGCCCUGGGUUCAAUUCCUCAGCACCA